UGGGGCGUCGGGGAGUGCGCGAGGCGGCCCGGGUUGUGUGCACUGGCGGAGACAAAGAGGUGGCGGUGGCGGCAGUGGCGGAGCAGCGUUAGACGCCGAAUUUUGUAGUGCUGAGUCCUGUCACCAUCUCAUCUAGCGCGGCGCGAGGGCGGCUGGUCUCGCGGCGGCGGCGGCGGACGCGGAGGUGGCGGCAGCACAUGGUUCCAAGAGCGCCCUGCGGUUAUUGGGUUCCAAUUCCGUGGGGAGGGACAAAGGCAGCUGUGAGCGCCGGGCAACGCCCGGUCGGGUGGUGCUCUCGCCACUGCCCUCGAUCCGGGCCUUGAAAACUGGGACUAACUUGUCUCCGUGAGGAGGAGACCACGGGACCGAGGCCCAGGGAGGGCCUGAGAGGCUGAGGCCGCUGUCUGAGGGAAAGGGGGAGGGGCGCGGCCCGCCUGAGUUGAUUGGGUGGGUCAAUUCUGUGGCGACGUAGUGGGCCACUGUGAGGUAAUUUGACUCACUACCCUGAGGAAAUUGGGGCGCACAGCAAGCUAGGUUUGAUCUGGGCUUUGAAAACGGAAAUCGGUCUUCAGCGCUUAGGAAAUCUUUCAGUUGGUAGGUGGUGAAGCCGGAACUAACGCCAUAUGCACUUGAGCAACAUCGUGAUCGCCACUCUGGGGCUUAUUUAAGGAUCCUGGGAUCAUUGAUGGCGAAGACAUGCGUGGCUAUCCAGCUUUAUGACUGAAGUUGCUAGACUUCCGGAUUGGUAAGUUUCCGGAUUGGUGAAUCUCCUCAUAGGAAAUUUAGAGAAACAACAACAAACAACUCGGAAGAACGUGAAGAUGGAGCAGUAAUUAAAUCGCCAACUCCAGUAUCAGCUACUCUAGGACGAACCACGUUCCACUCAGUGAAUUAUCGCAAAUUCAUGCUAAUGUUCCUUAAGACUACAGAUUUAUGACAGUUUAUUCCAAAGUAUUACAUCGUAGUCAUUGAGAGGAUAAAAAAAUUUAAGGAAGAAAUCAGUUUUUGUUUUAGACGUCUUUUCGAAUAUAUUUUAGGUGGAUAACUAGGUAAUUUUGUUAACUGAGGAGCACAGAUUCACCAACUCUUUACUGGAAGGAGUCCUGAAAAAUCUAUUCCAUUGUAAGCUUGUAUUUCCCAAUUAGUGGUUAAAGAACUGGAGAGACAUCGCCGCACUCAUGGCUUUCACGAAUUACAGCAGUCUGAAUCGAGCUCAGCUAACCUUUGAAUAUCUACACACGAAUUCAACCACUCAUGAGUUCUUGUUUGGUGCUCUUGCUGAACUAGUUGAUAAUGCAAGAGAUGCUGAUGCCACAAGAAUUGAUAUUUAUGCAGAAAGGCGAGAGGACCUUCGAGGAGGGUUUAUGCUUUGUUUUUUGGAUGAUGGAGCGGGAAUGGAUCCAAGUGAUGCUGCCAGCGUGAUCCAGUUCGGGAAGUCGGCCAAGCGAACGCCUGAGUCCACCCAGAUCGGGCAGUACGGGAAUGGGUUAAAGUCGGGCUCGAUGCGCAUCGGGAAGGAUUUCAUCCUCUUCACCAAGAAGGAAGACACCAUGACCUGCCUCUUCCUGUCACGCACCUUUCAUGAGGAGGAAGGCAUUGAUGAGGUGAUAGUCCCGUUGCCCACUUGGAACGCUCGGACCCGGGAACCUGUCACAGACAAUGUGGAGAAGUUUGCCAUUGAGACAGAACUCAUCUACAAAUAUUCUCCCUUCCACAAUGAAGAGGAGGUGAUGACUCAGUUCAUGAAGAUUCUUGGGGACAGCGGAACUCUGGUAAUCAUCUUCAACCUCAAACUUAUGGAUAACGGAGAGCCAGAGCUGGACAUAAUCUCAAAUCCAAGGGAUAUCCAGAUGGCAGAGACUUCACCGGAGGGCACGAAGCCAGAGCGCCGCUCCUUCCGUGCCUACGCUGCCGUGCUCUACAUUGAUCCCCGGAUGCGGAUCUUCAUCCACGGGCACAAGGUGCAGACCAAGCGGCUCUCCUGCUGCCUGUACAAGCCCAGGAUGUACAAGUACACAUCAAGCCGGUUCAAGACCCGCGCGGAGCAGGAGGUGAAGAAAGCUGAGCACGUGGCGAGGAUUGCUGAAGAGAAGGCACGGGAGGCAGAGAGCAAAGCUCGGACGUUGGAAGUGCGCCUGGGCGGAGACCUCACGCGGGACUCCAGGGUGAUGUUGCGACAGGUCCAGAACACAGCCAUUACCCUGCGCAGGGAAGCCGAUGUCAAGAAGCGGAUCAAGGAAGCCAAGCAGCGAGCACUUAAGGAACCCAAGGAGCUGAACUUUGUUUUUGGGGUGAACAUUGAGCACCGGGGCCUGGAUGGAAUGUUCAUCUACAACUGUAGCCGCCUGAUCAAGAUGUACGAGAAAGUGGGCCCGCAGCUGGAAGGUGGCAUGGCGUGCGGCGGAGUUGUCGGGGUCGUCGAUGUGCCCUACCUGGUCCUGGAGCCCACACACAACAAGCAGGACUUUGCGGACGCCAAGGAGUACCGGCACCUCCUGCGGGCCAUGGGGGAGCACCUGGCGCAGUACUGGAAGGACAUCGCCAUUGCCCAGCGGGGAAUCAUCAAGUUCUGGGAUGAGUUUGGCUACCUCUCUGCCAACUGGAACCAGCCCCCAUCCAGUGACCUGCGCUACAAGCGGCGGCGAUCCAUGGAGAUCCCGACCACCAUCCAGUGUGAUCUGUGUCUGAAGUGGCGGACACUCCCCUUUCAGCUGAAUUCUGUGGAGAGAGAUUACCCUGACACUUGGGUUUGCUCCAUGAACCCUGAUCCUGAGCAGGACCGGUGUGAGGCUUCAGAGCAGAAGCAGAAGUUUCCCUUGGGGACAUUGAAAAAGGACCUGAAGACACAGGAAGAGAAGCAGAAGCAACUGACAGAAAAAAUUCGCCAGCAGCAGGAGAAGCUGGAGGCCCUGCAAAAAACCACACCCAUUCGCUCCCAGGCUGACCUGAAGAAACUGCCUUUGGAAGUGACCACCAGACCUUCCUCUGAGGAACCUGCACGUAGACCUCAGCGCCCUCGGUCACCUCCUUUACCUGCUGUGAUCAAGAAUGCCCCGAGCAGACCCCCUUCCCUGCAAGCUCCCAGGCCAGCCAGCCAGCCCAGGAAGGCUCCUGUCAUCAGUAACGCCCCAAAGCCUGCUGCCCCGGCUGCCCGGGAGGAGGCCAGCACUUCCCGGCUGCUCCAGCCUCCCGAGGCACCCCGGAAGCCUGCCAACGCUCUGGUCAGGCCUGCGUCCCGGCCCACCCCAGCAGUACAGCCACCGUUACCAUCUCCCCAGUCCAACUCCAGGAGCCCUCGGGAGGUCCCUUCCCCCCGAGCUCUGAAGACUCCAGUGGUCAAGAAGCCAGAGCUGCCCACUAAACUCUCCCCGGCCACUCCCAGUCGGAAGCGGAGCCUCGGGGUCUCUGAUGAGGAAGACGCAGAGGAAGAGGCUGAGAAGAGGAAGGAGAGGUCCAAGCGGGGCAAGCUGGCUGUGAAGGAGGAAAAGAAGGACUUGAGUGAGCUCUCAGACAGCUCUGGGGAAGAGGACUCGGCUGACCUCAAGAGCGCUCAGAGAGAUAAGGGGCUGCACGUGGAGGUGCGUGUGAAUAGGGAGUGGUACACAGGCCGUGUCACAGCUGUGGAGGUGGGCAAGAAUGCGGUGCGGUGGAAGGUGAAAUUUGACUAUGUGCCCACGGACACAACACCAAGAGACCGCUGGGUGGAGAAAGGCAGCGACGAUGUGCGGUUGAUGAAGCCCCCGUCCCCAGAGUAUCAGAGCCCAGACACACGCCAGGAGGGCAGAGAAGAGGCAGCGGCGGCCCCAGCGGGGGGUUCGGUGGCCCAGCAAGCUGUAGCCUCGGCGGAGCCCUCCACCUCUGACUGCAUCCCUAUCGAGCCUGACACCACCGCCCCCAGCACCAACCACGAGACCAUUGACCUCCUCGUCCAGAUUCUUCGGAAUUGUUUACGGUACUUCCUGCCUCCGAGUUUCCCCAUCUCUAAGAAGGAGCUGAGUGCUAUGAAUUCAGAUGAGCUGAUAUCGUUUCCUCUGAAAGAGUACUUCAAGCAGUAUGAAGUUGGGCUCCAGAACCUGUGCCAUUCCUACCAGAGCCGUGCCGACUCGCGGGCCAAGGCUUCUGAGGAGAGCCUGCGCACCUCCGAGAGAAAGCUGCGUGAGACCGAGGAGAAGCUGCAGAAGCUGAGGACCAACAUCGUGGCACUCCUGCAAAAGGUGCAGGAGGUGAGCCAGGCCACCCUCUCGUUGCAGCGGCCCACCUGGUGUCUCGGGGGCGGGGGGCCUGGGUACCUCGUGCUCCCUUCUCCCCACUCACAGGAAUGUGUGGUUCCAACCCUGGCGGCACAGCAUCCUGACCAGGCGGGCUGGAGGUGGUGCGGCUGCUGGGCCCCGUCCCAGCCACACCCACGGUAUCAGACUUUUGCCCUUGUGUAGACACGGUGACCUGCAACCUGGUUUGAGACACCUUGGAGUCAUGAAACAAAGACAUUCUUGGUUUUCCAGAUGACGCCUGGGUGGGAGUGGGUAGCCCACAAGCCGGGAAUGUCCUGUGGUCUCAGCCCUUCUUCUGGGCAGGAAUCUGGGGAUCCCUGUCCUGUGACCCCUGGUGACCAACAGGGGCCCUGCUCUCGGACCACAGCAGGGGAGGAGACAGAACUGUUGAUGGUGGGAAGUGCCAUGAAAAAAAAACAGGAGAGCGCGACAGGAAGCCGCUGUACUAGAGUGUCAGGAGAGCCUCUGAGGAGGAGGUUGGGCCCAAGGCAGAGCCAGACGUGCUGGGGGGGUGUGAGCUGUAGGCAGAGAAGAGCAGGGCCCACGGCAGGGCCCUGGGCCAGGUGGGAGGUCCCUGGACCUUGUGGUGCUGAGACGUGUGCAGCCUAAGACACUUACUUUGGUUGGUUGUAGGAGAGGCCGAGGUUAGAGUCCAGGACUCCACUGAGGAGGUUCCCAGUUAUCUGGGUGAGAGAUUCUGGAGGCCUGAGCCUUGGAUGGUGCCAGUGAGGAGGGAGAGAAGCGUCUGGGGGAGGACAGGGAACAAGGGCAACUGUUCGAGUCUGAGUCCCUGAGUAGAGGGAAGAGGGCACCUGUACUGAGACGGGAACAACCCGGGGUGGGCAGGAGUGGGAGGACGGAGAGGGGAUGGAUGAUUAAGGGUGGCCCAACAGGGUGGAGGGGGGAAGAGUAGAGGGCAUGGCCUGGGCUGCAAGAAGGCUGGGGAGGCGGGCCUCCCACCACCCUGUGAGCCCUGGCUGACCCUGCCCUGCUCUGUUCCAGGACUUAGACAUUAACACAGACGACGAGCUGGAUGCCUACAUCGAGGACCUGAUCACCAAGGGGGACUAGGGCCCGGAGCCAGAGAUCAGCUCCUCUGCCCCUCAAGGCAGAGCUCCUGAGGGUGGCGUUUCAUUUAUGGGUUGAUGGACUUACCUUGGUUUGAUUCACGGGAUAUCUGUGCUUUUGGUGGGAGAGAGACUGAUUCUUUGACUCUUCCACCCUAAGUUGAUAAAUAUUUAUUUUUUGAAAGAAACAACAUGCUGUGCCUGCUGUGAGACCAUACUUUUUUUUGGUGACUCUUGGGCAAAGGACAGAACCAGGAUGCCAAGUCUUGAGUUGCUUCUCUCGGUUCCUGGCUUCUCAAGAUGUGGUGAAUUCCAGCACCGUGUGGAAGUUGGAGGGGCUCCAGGGGCAGGGCUGGGGGGCAGACAGGACCCUUCCCAGGCUGGUGCUCCCCCAGGAACUCCAAUCCAGGGCAUCUCCAUGGGGCUGCCAUCAGCAGGCGGCUUGGCGCUGAGGAGCUCCCUGCCUCAGGUCAGGGAGGUGAGUGGUGGUCUGAGCGGCCAGUCUUCUUGGCUGUGGCACUGUCAGUCAGCUCGGGGGAGAAAGAUCCUCCUGUUCAGCGUCCCCAUCCACCACCUAAAUUCUCCCUGCUGGAUGUUUCCUUAGCUAGCAGUAGACGGUGAGGUUUCCUGCCACAAAAACUCGAGUCCAGGUUAAGGCGUGGACAGAUCUGACUGGGCAGCCUGCUGACCUGGGUAGCACAUCGUUUGCGUUCCAGAGGAGUCCCCUUAGGAGUCCUGUGCGUGAGGAGCGCCGUGCUGGUCUGGUGGUGGCCUCGGCCGCCACUGUGGCAGGGUCCUGGGGAGGACUGCUGCUCUUCCUGCUUCCCCUCUGUUCGCCCUACCACGCCCUGUCAGGGUCUCCGGUUUGGGGCAGAUGGGAGGAGGGGGUCACCGAGCCCCUGGGCAUGCCAUGCCUUCCUCUGCCUGGUCACAGCCUCAUACUGCUGUGGUCCUCAAACAACUCAGGGUCAAAGACCAAGGCCAGAGUCGCUGAGUUUUCUGUAAUGGCCGUUGGAAAAGUUCUGGUUCGAUUUCCCCCAACUCACUCCUUAUCCCCUUUUAUUUGGGGACUUUGGGUUUUCUGAAGGCACAAGAACCAUGAUCUUGCCCCACUGGCCCGCAAUUCUGACCUCUCAGUGUGUUUCCAGCGUCCGCCCACCUCUGCUCAGCAGGGGCCAUGUGCCGCCCUGUGAAGACUGCAGGAGACGGGGAAGCGAUGGCGAGGGAGGCAGGCCACAGGGGAGUUAAGGUCUCUGCCCACUUGUGCACGUGCCGGAAGUGCCUAUGAUGUGUGGGCUUGGGACUUCUCAAAACCACACCCCUGGGCAAGGGCUGUUCCAGAGAAAUACCAGGGAGGCCCUGACCUCUUCCUCGGAAGAUUCUCCCAGAGUCUUGGGGUUUCUUGAGCUGGUAGUUCCUAUCCUGUCCGGCUCGUUCUCAUCACAGGCAGCGUAUGAUCCAUUUUUUGUCCCCAAACUUCCUGUUUUCAUUUAGAUAGAAGCUGAUUCUGCAUUUUUACCAGAGGGUAAUACUCAAGGUUUUUUAUUUACACACCUGUAAUCAAAAUGCAAUACUAUAAACUUUUACUGGCGAGACUCCUGAA